GGAAAUUUAUCAGUGAGACUGAAGAAUCCUCCAAAACCAUCAUUCCACUCUUCAUUGGUCUUAACUCCCUUCCUCUAGAGCUAUCUAGUUAUAAAAUACCAGCAGAGAUGAAGCCAGUUUCUCUGCCUGCAUCAAAUCGAUUAUGUCUGAAAAGAAAGCAGGGCAAAUGUUGUAUCAGCAAAGAGGAUGACAUGAUGGAGGGUAGCCCACACCCAACAAGAGAAAAAGGAAGCUCACCCAGCUAGCUCUGGAAGACCCAGGCAUUUCAUAGUAUCUAGCAGGUGAGGAGGCUCUGGAGGAAUGCUGGAUCUAUAAUAAGAGAAAUGAAGAGCUGCUGCAGGACGCCUGAAACAUCCAGAAUGGUGGGGACCAGCCAGCUGGAAUAGCACAAAGGCAGUGGCCACAGAUGCAUCACUGACAUGAACUACAUUGAGCAGAAGGGGAGUGUGGGAACGAAGGGUCAGGUCACCACCUCAGUCAAUGUCCUAUCUACAUGCAGGAAGGAAGGGCAGUUGGAAGGUAGGAAUGGAAAAAGGCUUAAAGGUCCUGCCUCAUCUUUACCCUCACUCCAGACAGAAAAGGAGUCACAUGUCCACUGCCUUCAGCUACUAAAUUUAGCUUCUAGAACUGAUCAAUGAUCUGCUUUUCUCUCAUCAUCCAAAAUCAAUAAUAA